rnacentral:rRNA from 1 species
AUGAACGCUGGCGGCGUGCCUAAUACAUGCAAGGCGAGCGAACAGAUGAGGAGCUUGCUCCUCUGACGUUAGCGGCGGACGGGUGAGUAACACGUGGAUAACCUACCUAUAAGACUGGGAUAACUUCGGGAAACCGGAGCUAAUACCGGAUAAUAUAUUGAACCGCAUGGUUCAAUAGUGAAAGACGGUUUUGCUGUCACUUAUAGAUGGAUCCGCGCCGCAUUAGCUAGUUGGUAAGGUAACGGCUUACCAAGGCAACGAUGCGUAGCCGACCUGAGAGGGUGAUCGGCCACACUGGAACUGAGACACGGUCCAGACUCCUACGGGAGGCAGCAGUAGGGAAUCUUCCGCAAUGGGCGAAAGCCUGACGGAGCAACGCCGCGUGAGUGAUGAAGGUCUUCGGAUCGUAAAACUCUGUUAUUAGGGAAGAACAAAUGUGUAAGUAACUAUGCACGUCUUGACGGUACCUAAUCAGAAAGCCACGGCUAACUACGUG